GGGAGAAGACAUUGUGUCUUCGAGUCGUUGAUUUCACACUGCCGAGAAAAGCCUCUAGAUAGAAAAUAGGUGCCCGUACCGCAAACCGACACAGGUAGUCAAGAUGAGAAUUCUAAGGUGAGCGAGCGAACUCUCGUUAAGGAACUCGGCAAAAUGACCCCGUAACUUCGGGAGAAGGGGUGCUCUUUAGGGUUAACGCCCAGAAGAGCCGCAGUGAAUAGGCCCAAGCGACUGUUUAUCAAAAACACAGGUCUCUGCUAAACCGUAAGGUGAUGUAUAGGGGCUGACGCCUGCCCGGUGCUGGAAGGUUAAGAGGAGUGGUUAGCUUCUGCGAAGCUACGAAUCGAAGCCCCAGUAAACGGCGGCCGUAACUAUAACGGUCCUAAGGUAGCGAAAUUCCUUGUCGGGUAAGUUCCGACCCGCACGAAAGGCGUAACGAUUUGGGCACUGUCUCAACGAGAGACUCGGUGAAAUCAUAGUACCUGUGAAGAUGC
rnacentral:rRNA from 1 species